GUUAGGAAUAUUGGACAAUGGGCGCAAGCCUGAUCCAGCCAUGCCGCGUGAGUGAUGAAGGCCUUCGGGUUGUAAAGCUCUUUAGCCGAUGAUUAUAAUGACUGUAGUCGGAAAAUAAGCCCCGGCUAACUUCGUGCCAGCAGCCGCGGUAAUACGAAGGGGGCGAGCGUUAUUCGGAAUCACUGGGCGUAAAGCGUGCGUAGGCGGCUUUGCAAGUUGGGAGUGAAAGCCCAGGGCUCAACCCUGGAAUUGCUCUCAAAACUGCAAGGCUCGAAUUCGGGAGAGGAUAGCGGAAUUGUCAGUGUAGCAGUGAAAUGCGUAGAUAUUGACAGGAACACCAGUGGCGUAAGCGGCUAUCUGGACCGAUAUUGACGCCGAGGCACGAAAGCGUGGGGAUCAAACAGGAUUAGAUACCCGGGUAGUCC
rnacentral:rRNA from 1 species